AUCGAUUAGUUUUAACUCUGCAGAGUUUGUACACUUUACCCACAUGAUGCGAAAUAAUAAUCAUGCAAGAGCAUGGCACGCGAUACAUAAGUACCCGAUUUAUUACCCGCAACAAAGCUUUUCCAAAAUUCAUGAUUUAGCCUUACACCAGCACGAUACGUGUUACUCCAUCCUAAGCCAUACACGUUAUAUGACCUAGAACCGUUAAGUGGCGGGCUCACGCCUUAAACUUAACGCCGUGGUGGCGGACACAACGGGAACCCACCCACGUGGCACAAUACCGUUGUAUUGGACAGACUUAGUGACCUAAACUACCACGUCGGGGUAAAUAGGAAGUUCCUCUGAGUUAUCCGAAUUCAUACGCACCGGUCUACCAGAAUGUAAGGCUAAACCAUAAAUAAUUUACUAAGCUUGAGCUAUCCCAUACUAGCACAUGUGGUUGUACUGUAUACGAAAUGAACUGACAUUGAGUGAAGUCCUUAGGUCGGUUUGGGUGCACUCUCCCCCUAUCGGUACACAACUAAUCACCAUAUGUGCACCAGUUGAGGCCCAAACCUAAAAUCCAUGUUUUCCAUCAUUUUAUUUAUGAAAAUCACAAGUAUUAAAGUUCUGUCCAGAUUAUUUCAAAAUCAAUUUUUCAUAUUUGUAAUGAACCCAUAAUGACAAGGAAGACCAUUCUAAGCAUGGCUAAGCAUUAUAAUAACCUAGUGACUCCAAAAUUCAUAUAUAACGUGGUAUAGUCAUAUUGUUCCUAAGGAUAGGAAUGAUGGAUAUGGAUAUAUGUGGGGUUAAGGUGAUAAUGUAAAUAAUAGGAGUUUGUCUAACAAGUUUAACACAAUUUUAAUUUGUUAAUGUACAAUCGACAUGCAGGAUUUGCAAACAUUUUCAAUAACCUCCAAAACAUAGGUUCAAACAUUUUCAAUAACCUCCAAAACAUAGGUUCAAAGUGAUCAAAGAGAGGGAGGUGGGACUUGC
rnacentral:lncRNA from 1 species